rnacentral:lncRNA from 1 species
ACAUUGGGAAUGCUGGGUGGACCGCGGCAUUGGCCGGGUCCGCAUACGAGCGGGGCCUGGACGUCGGAUGGGAUGGCUCCAGAGCGGUGGGACGCUUGGGGGGCCCCGGGGAUUUGCCCGUUGUGGAGACAGUACAAAUAUGCAAAUUUGGACAGGGAGUCUUUGUGGUUGGUGACAGACAGACUGCCUUGUUGCAAGAACCAUGGAAGUAUCUCUUAAAAAACCCUAGUACCCAUGACUGAGCCUGCAUGGCACAGUUUUGUUUCCUAGUGUUUGAUGUUUGAUUUAUGUUGUGUUAUGUUUGAUUUGUUUUGUGUUUCCUUGAAUUGCGUAUUAAUAUAUAGGCG